rnacentral:rRNA from 1 species
CCAUUGCUCCUUCUCUUGCUUUAACCGGCGGGAACGGGUGAGUUAACACGUAUUUUAACCUGCCUGUAAGACCGGGAUAACAUUCGGAAACGAAUGCUAAUACCGGAUACGCGAUUUCCUCGCAUGGGGAGAUCGGGAAAGACGGAGCAAUCUGUCACUUACAGAUGGACCUGCGGCGCAUUAGCUAGUUGGUGGGGUAACGGCUCACCAAGGCGACGAUGCGUAGCCGACCUGAGAGGGUGAUCGGCCACACUGGGACUGAGACACGGCCCAGACUCCUACGGGAGGCAGCAGUAGGGAAUCUUCCGCAAUGGACGAAAGUCUGACGGAGCAACGCCGCGUGAGUGAUGAAGGCUUUCGGGUCGUAAAGCUCUGUUGCCAGGGAAGAACACUUAGGAGAGUAACUGCUCUUAAGGUGACGGUACCUGAGAAGAAAGCCCCGGCUAACUACGUGCCAGCAGCCGCGGUAAUACGUAGGGGGCAAGCGUUGUCCGGAAUUAUUGGGCGUAAAGCGCGCGCAGGCGGCUUUGUAAGUCUGUCGUUUAAGUUCGGGGCUCAACCCCGUAUCGCGAUGGAAACUGCAAGGCUUGAGUGCAAAAAAGGAAAGUGGAUUCCACGUGUACCGGUGAAUGCGUAAAGAUGUGGAGGAACACCAGUGGCGAAGGCGACUUUCUGGGCUGUAACUGACGCUGAGGCCCAAAGCGUGGGGAGCAACAGGAUAAAUACCUGGUAGUCACGCCGUAACAAUGAUGCUAGGUGU